AUUAUAUUACAAUAAACAAGAUCAGAUUUAUUUUACACAAAUGUUUUAGUCUUCUAGGUCAGUUUUUUGGUAAGGUAUGUCAAAUGAACUGGGAAUUAUUAUGAAAGACGAGUUUAUUUACUUCAAUUUGAGUUACGAAACACGUU